UACGUAGGUGGCAAGCGUUGUCCGGAUUUAUUGGGCGUAAAGGGAGCGCAGGCGGUGACUUAAGUCUGAUGUGAAAGCCCACGGCUCAACCGUGGAAGGUCAUUGGAAACUGGGUCACUUGAAUAUAGAAGAUGAAAGUGGAAUUCCAUGUGUAGCGGUGAAAUGCGUAGAUAUAUGGAGGAACACCAGUGGCGAAGGCGACUUUCUGGUCUAUUAUUGACGCUGAGGCUCGAAAGCAUGGGUAGCAAACAGGAUUAGA
rnacentral:rRNA from 1 species